CUUGUCUUUGGGAUUUUUUAUUUCAUCUUCUAAAUCUGAGUAUAUCUAUUCUUAUCAAUCUAUUAUCUGUCUAUCUGUUUGCAAGUAAACAAAUCAGAUAUAUAAAAAAGAAAGAAAAAUCGAAAAUAUCCCAGAAGAAAUCGGAUUCAAUAUAGGAAAAUCGAACUGAGGUUUGGUAAAGAGAGUUAUUCUUUAUAUACAAUCUUUGAAUUCAAUAACUGCUUCUCCGCGCUUGGUUUCUUGAUCCUUCUUCCGAAGUUGGACUCUGCAACUGAUGUCUAACAUGAAGGGGCAGAUAUUAGUAUAGAUAGUGAUUAUCAAUAACUAGUUAAUAAAUUAAUAUCAUGUAUAAAUCUAGUCUUAUCUUUAGAUAACAUCUUAACAAACCUAACAACAUGUUGUAUAACACAACUCUAGUGAUCAAUGAAAAUCAUUACUGGACAAUAUUUCUACAUCAAGUUACCUUUAGGCUGCAAGGAAGUGUAAUUUUGGUCGAAUUUCCACUCCUCACCCUUUGAAGAUAUUGUCAAAUCUAUUUCUCUGUGGAUUCAGUUUGGGAGAGGACACUAGUUAUGGUUUUUCACCCUCACGUACUGGAAUCAAAGCUAGCCGACGGCACAGUUAUGCAUUGUAGCUGAUUUCCUUGGUCUAGGGAAAUUAGCAAAUGCAUAAUUAUUGUUCCUUGUAAUAUCUAUCCACCAAAAAGGGGCAUAGUACCAGAAUUUAUGUUUUGGCAUUUCUAAUAGAUGGUCAAAAUCAUCCGAAGAAAAGUCUUAAAAUAUUAUUUUUCAACUACUGGCAGAAGAGCUGAAAGAUUUGUUAUCAAACGGCAUUCAAGCAUUUGUUAUUUAAACCAAGUAAACUUACUUAUUGUGAGCUUUGUUUAUGAGCACGAUAAUAGCUAGUUAAAUGUUCAUGGUAUUUGGAAUGUAUUAACGAGUUUUAUUUUUCCAUAGACUAAAAUCUAGAGAUAGAGUCCC
rnacentral:lncRNA from 1 species